UCAAGCGUUCCCUAUAAAACAUAAGAUCGUUCACAACAGUGCUAAUACUGCCUCGGCCUUGAAAGCUACUAUAUAACCUAGACGUUUUAUUUUUUGUUCUCAUCUAAUUUUUUAGUCUUCUACUAUUAGUGAUUCUUAUCAAUAUGGCGUCUUACCUUCUUAUUCAUUUACGUUUCUUUCUAAAGUUUACAGUAUGACCUUUAUAGUCCUUAUAGUGUAUUCGUUCACAUAGACGGAUAACUCAUCAACUGUUGUAUUUUAUUCUUUUUGUUAUUUUUAUAACACACAUCAAAACAUAAUUUCAAAAUAAUGCUACCUUGUUAGUUUUCCUUUUUGAUGUCAACUUUAUGACAAAUCGUUGUUUUAAAUGUGUUUUACAAUAACGCUAUUAACAGAAUAUAUUCGAAAGAUAACACGAUAAAGGAGAUAAAAACAAACAAUUGAAACAGUUGAACAAAUUGACGUGAUUAUUAAAUUUGUUUCAUCAAAAACUUACUUUUAUUUUGCACGACAUUUAUUUUGACAUUUGAAAACAUUUAUAGUCGAUAAUUAUGCUCUUUUCCUUAUCUUCUAUCCUUUAGCAUUAUAUUCUUUUUUUUUAUGCCAAUUAAAAUUCUCUAUUCUUUGCGUCAAGUGCAUCAACAAUUUCUUAUACAAUGACCAAUCAAAAUCACCUUGAAACUAGAUGCGAUUAGAUGUAACUAGAGUAUAUGGUUAUGUCAGAUCUUUCAAUGGUAUUGCAUUUUCUUUUUUCUACUUUUCAUAUUUUUCGGUAAAAGGAAUCUUGGCAUCGAUUAACGAUCGAUUGAUCGAUUUUAUCGGAAACAUACGAGAAAUACGAAUACUUAACAAAAAGAAUAGGACCUUAAGUCGCAAACAGUAAAAGAUGCACUUAUUAAUUAAGCACUAUUAUCGUAAAUAUUUUUGACAUAUGACAUGUCAUGUAUAUUUUUGACAGACUACCGCCUAUUUAAAAGAUCAACGAUUCGUACUAUAACUUUGGUUUACGAAAAAGUACUAAAAUAUAUGAUGCUAAAUUAUAUUUAUUAAUAUAUUAUAAUUAUAUUGAUAAUAUUAUUGUACUACCACUAUCCCUUGAACCUUGAAGCAUGAAAAUACAUAAAGACGUACUUAUACUUAAUAUAUAUAAGUACGUAUAUAUGAUUAGACUAUAUAUAGAAAAGACAUUGACAUGUAGAUAAAAGAGACAGGGAAACGAUUUUCCUGUAAUCAUAGUGAAUAAUAUUGACAUGAGAACAAUUAUCUCCAAUCAUUUGAACUCGUGAAUUUUCAAAGAGAAAACAAUUAACAAAGUAAAUAAUAUGAGGUUAUUGAAUUUGUUAUUGCCGAUGUCGUAUAGACGACAUAGAGAUAUAUACAUAUGUAGUUAAGUGUGAUAAAUUAUUCCAAGAAUUAAUUAUUAUCUUGGUCGUUUUACUCCCUAGUUUACUUAUUACCAAGAGAGAAUUAUGAUUUCUAAACGAUUUUAUCUCAUAGAAAUCAUAUAGAAAAUGUUUAGAUGUUUUUACCUGGAAGAGAUUAAAUCAAAUAAUCGAUUGCAUCGGACAUUAUAUAUUUUCAUACAAACGAUUCAUCGAUGUAACUUUUGAACAUCUCAUAAUGAGGUUUGGUAGAUUGUCGAUUAUAACAAAUCGACGAUUACGUUACUUUGUACGUUCAAAUGCAAAUGAUGUUCAAAUGCAAACGACAAUUUUUCUUUGACCUUCGAUCAUUCGAGACGAUUACGCGAAGUCAUCGUGAUCACCACUCGGAACUCGACAGGAAUGUAUCGAUCUCUGAAAGGCUUGCCAUAGGUUUAUUCUUCUUCCUCUUUUGUGACGUAUCGUCGCGACUCUUGUAUUUAUUUUUCUUUUAUAUCAUCUGCAUAAUAAAACCGUUAUUUUCUUGAUGUUAUUUUCUCGAUGUGAUUUAUAAUUAAUCUUAACUGGAAAACGGUGAGCCUUUGAUUUUUUUUAUUUAGAUUUUUUUCGUUUUUGUUUUUCUCUGGUUUUUUGUUAAUUGUUUUUUUCGGUCUUAUUUUUAUGACGUGCAAUGUAAAAUACGUUGAAAAUUUUGAACCUUGUGAGUGACUAUAUCCAGAAAUUUUCGUUGGCCAGGUGAUUGCUCUUUUAAUUAAACCUCUCCAAGCCGAUCCUUCAGCCAAGUUUGAUUGCAAAUGCUAAGUAAGCAGUUAUGUCACGAAGGAGUCUCGAUCCUUUAUACCGAAUGAGUCAUUAAACGUAAAUAAAAGAUAAUCCUUUAUUUAUAUGCUGUAUACAAUGAACCGAAGCAAAUAAGUCAUUUGUAAUAUAGAAACGGAAAAUUAUUUAUAACUUCGUCAAGGCCAAUAUUUAAAGCCAUACUUACAAACGCUUCAGAAUGCAUUUAUUACUCAGCUUAAUGAGUAAGAUUGAGAAGAUUUCAUCAAUAUGCGCUUAAAUUUGUAUAUAUAAAUACACUUUAAUAACUUCUUACAGAAAAUCGCAAUUGUUUGUAACAAUUAUUUAUAACAUUGUCAAGGCCAAUAUUUCAAUCAUUAAUAUUUCAAUUUCAUUUAGUCUCAUAAAUGCUUAAGAAAGCCUUUUAUUACGUAACUUAAUGAAUAAGACUGAGAAGAUCUCAUCAAUUCGCGUUCUGAAUUGUAUAUGUAAAUACACUUUAAUAGCAUAUAUUUAAUUUCAGUUUUUUUUUGUAGAAAAUCACAAUUGUUUAUAACAAUUUUCAUCCAUCGUUUCGCUAUUUUAAUAGAGUAACGUACCAGGACUUUCUUAUUAGCGAUUAAUGAUUUAGAAGAAAGAUUUUAAAACUUCGAAACGAUAUAAUGUAACAGUGCGUUUAACGUAAAAAUCAUCGAAAAGCAUGGUUCUUUUUCGAUACAAAUACGAUUUCAUCAAUGGAUCCAAAGAAUGGUUUUCAGUAGUUGGUAGAGAACAAUAAUAUCGUACAAGCACACAUUAUGUAUCUACGGUCGGCCCUGGCUCUUAAGUUGAUUGUAUGACGUCGUCAAGUGAGUAAUGCUUGCAAUUCGAGUGAUGCUUGUAAAAUAUUCGAUUCAGUGCUAUAACAGUUCUGUUGUGUUGUGAUGUUUCGAUGGUGUAAUCAAUGUUUCGUCGCGUGUACCUCUCUAAUUACAUGUAUGCAGUGGACGCAUUAUCGAAUGCAUACGCUUAGGCGGGCUCGAGUUUAGAGUUAAGUAUUUCUCGUAUUCAAAUACUGUCUCGAAGUGACGGUGUAAAAAUUUUCCAAUAAAUACUGUAUGAAUAAUUCGAUUAAUAUAUUUAGAAAUAAAAAAGACAAAUGUUCUCUGAUUUUCUUUUUCUUGUUAAUUUUCUAAAUAUUUAUAUAAGGUUUAUUCGAAAGAAGAAAAAAAAAAACAAAAAUAAAAAUAAAUAUAUACAAACGCGGAAUAUUUAUCAUUUAUCGAAAAACGUUCCGUUUCGUACGACGAAUUUUAUUACCGUUUUGUUUGACAACAAAAGAUAAACGAUGAAUCGGCGAAGGCGAAGCGACAUCGUCGCGUGACUCGUUGGCCCCAACACGAUAUGCGAUGCUUCUAGGUCAGACCGUUUUGUUAUUUAGUUAUAUUUAGUGGCCAUUCACUGUUUUCACUGUCUACACGUCGGAUCGCGUAGUGUCGUAACUCGUUGUCUUUUGUCCAAAGUUCUCUUUUAAAAAAAAAAGGUAUAGAUACGUUGCAUCGAAAUGUCAUCAUUUCCGUUGUGAUCACGAAGCGUAACAAUAAUGUGAUUUUGAAGGUUCGUGUACUCAUGAUUUCCUCCCGUGCUACUAAUUUAUUAUUUAAAUGAAUACGAUAAAACGAAGAGAGCAAAAUUAGCAAUGAAUAGGAAAAAUAUUCAAAUAUAUCAACGAAUAGUAAGGACCUCAUAGUCUUUGAAGGAUAAUUCUUCUCCAUCAAAAGGAAUAUAAAGGCAGCCGUGACUAGGUUGUACCUGUAUAACAAAAUUAAUCGAUUUAUCGAUAUC